rnacentral:snoRNA from 1 species
AAUUCAUGAUGAGGGCACCUUCUCAAAAGAUCCUUAAAUCUCUCCCAUGCAUCAUAUAAUGUCUUCAAAUCAAUUUGAGCAAAAAAAAGAGAGAUCGUCCCUCAACUU